AAGAAAAAGAAAUAAAUUCUGUCUAAAGGGCAGCCAAGGAAAUAAUUAUAGUAUCUAAAAUUCAUCUCCUCUGCAAAUCACUUUGACCCUUUUUGUGUCAGUAAAUGGCCAACUAUUCAGAAAACCAUUUCUUCUUCUUGGGUUUAAAUCCAGUCCACAUUCUCCAGCCUCCCUUGCAGUGGGGUGUGGCCUUGUGAAUGAGGUGGGCAGAAGAAAUGCACACCCACUUCCAUCCUGGCCCAGACACACACCCAUAUGUGACUCCUCGGCUGUGUCCUCUUCCACUACUUGGAGUCCUGCAUUACAGAUGGUGGAGCCACAGGAUGGAAAGUGCCCUGAAUACUGCUUGGAGAAGCCCCAGUUGCAGCUAUUAAAAGGAGCACAUGAAAAGAGAGACAGAGGAUGCCUAAGCAACCAUUAAAACCACCAUCCCUCACCAUAUUUCGAAUUCCAGAUUGGUGGUGUUGACAUCUGGGUCCUCAAAAGCACAGGUCAGUGAGUGCUGGGAUCCAUUCACUUCCAACUGGCUAUAGCAUGAGAAUGAGUAGUCAUCCAGUUCUGCAUCUUCCAAGUCUCCUGGGGAGGAACAAACAUGCAGCUGUUAAUGAAACAAAUAAAUGCAUCCUUUUGAUAUAUGGCAUGACCUUAAUAAAAUAGCAGACUCCGUGGCAGACCUGCAGUAGUAAUGGAUUAUGUAUUAUCUAAGGAAGGAAAGCCCAAGGGCGAAGACAAGAAAAAUGCUUCAAAACCAACCAACCAACAAAAAACAAAAA